rnacentral:rRNA from 1 species
CCUACGGGAGGCAGCAGUGGGGAAUUUUGGACAAUGGGCGCAAGCCUGAUCCAGCAAUGCCGCGUGCAGGAUGAAGGCCUUCGGGUUGUAAACUGCUUUUGUACGGAACGAAACGGUUCUUUCUAAUAAAGAGAGCUAAUGACGGUACCGUAAGAAUAAGCACCGGCUAACUACGUGCCAGCAGCCGCGGUAAUACGUAGGGUGCGAGCGUUAAUCGGAAUUACUGGGCGUAAAGCGUGCGCAGGCGGUUAUAUAAGACAGAUGUGAAAUCCCCGGGCUCAACCUGGGACCUGCAUUUGUGACUGUAUAGCUAGAGUACGGUAGAGGGGGAUGGAAUUCCGCGUGUAGCAGUGAAAUGCGUAGAUAUGCGGAGGAACACCGAUGGCGAAGGCAAUCCCCUGGACCUGUACUGACGCUCAUGCACGAAAGCGUGGGGAGCAAACAGGAUUAGAUACCCUGGUAGUCCACGCCCUAAACGAUGUCAACUGGUUGUUGGGUCUUCACUGACUCAGUAACGAAGCUAACGCGUGAAGUUGACCGCCUGGGGGAGGUACGGCCGCGAGUAGAACGUACAANAGAGUUAGACGGCGUGAGACGAGACCGACGGACGACGACGAGGGAGGAGG